rnacentral:rRNA from 1 species
GUGGAUUAGAUACCCGGGUAGUCCACGCCCUAAACGAUGUCAACUGGUUGUUGGUGGGGUUAAACCCAUUAGUAACGAAGCUAACGCGUGAAGUUGACCGCCUGGGGAGUACGGCCGCAAGGUUAAAACUCAAAGGAAUUGACGGGGACCCGCACAAGCGGUGGAUGAUGUGGAUUAAUUCGAUGCAACGCGAAGAACCUUACCUACCCUUGACAUGCCAGGGAGCUCGAUGAGAGUCGAGUGUGCCCGAAAGGGAGCCUGGACACAGGUGCUGCACGGUCGUCGACAGCU